GGGCCGCUAGCUCAAUGGUAGAGCAAAUGACUCUUAAUCAUUAGGUUGUGGGUUCGAGUCCCACGCGGCUCA
rnacentral:tRNA from 1 species